CUAACGCCGAUAUGGGUUGUCGGGCACGUCCACGGACGCCCCGCCAGCCGCGGCCCCGCUGGGAGGACCAGCACCAGGACCGAUGGCCACGAGGGCCUGCCAUCGGCAAAGAGCUGCUCCCCCUCAGCUGGAGGAAGACGCUGCCUGAGGAGCAACAGGAGUGGGUGGGCCGGGCGCUGGUCCGCAGGGACCCCAGCAGCGGGAAAGCUGUCCUCACCACACCGCCCCGACUGAGGUGGUACCCGCCAGCCGCCCGGCUCCUCUACACGCAGCCCCCCGGCCACAGCUCACGCCUUCUUCCAGCGCCCGUUCAUCCUCUGGCUUCCGUAUCGGAUGUGGGCGUACCACCUCAAGUGCCCCGCCGAUGGGGGUAAGCUGAUGGGCGCUGGCCUCUACAAGACCGUCCGGAGGGUCUAGGACAGGAGUAGGUGGUAUUACAUGGCCACAGAGGGCCUUCAGUGCCCCUCCUGAGACAAGAAGGUGGCGGGCUGGUCGCAGGACAUCCUGGAGCAGCUGGACGUUGCUCACCGUAUGGUCCCUAUGGCGACUGGACCAGCGACUGCGGCGAUCCUGAGCGCUAUGCGCUGCGUGCUCCGCGUACCCUGGCAGGUUUCCCGGGUGGGCUUCUCGAAGAUCUCCUCCUGGUCGAAGCCCUUCUUGGACUCCUGCUCUUUGUAGGAGC